UACGGGGGGGGCAAGCGUUGUUCGGAAUUACUGGGCGUAAAGGGCUCGUAGGCGGCCAACUAAGUCAGACGUGAAAUCCCUCGGCUUAACCGGGGAACUGCGUCUGAUACUGGAUGGCUUGAGAUUGGGAGAGGGAUGCGGAAUUCCAGGUGUAGCGGUGAAAUGCGUAGAUAUCUGGAGGAACACCGGUGGCGAAGGCGGCAUCCUGGACCAACACUGACGCUGAGUGAGCGAAAAGCCAGGGGAGCAAACGGG
rnacentral:rRNA from 1 species